UUUGCGUGUCAUCAUUAAAUGUCGUGUUAUUAUUUUGUUUCAACUAUUCAAAAAAGCUUCCGCUUGACAUAACCCCCCAAAAAAAACCCAAGUAUUGAUAACCAAAAAACCCCCCGAAAAACCCAUUUAAUCGAUCGAUCGAUUACCACCAAGUAACAACAUCGAAGCCCCAAAAAUCUGCUCCAAAAUCGAUCGUUUGAAGGUUCAAGUUCUGCUCCCCAAAAUCUACACAAAUUCCGCUCCUCAAAAAAACCCUAAAUCUACACAAAUUCCGCUCCCUAAAUCGAUUGAAUGUUCAAAUUCUGCUCCAAUCGAUAAUGAUGAUUGGAAGGGUUUCUUCGAGAUCUGAAAAACCCAUGCAAUUUAGUUUGAUUUAAAAUUUUGUUCUUGAAACCAUUGACCAAAUUUCUAUCUCAGGAUGGUAUUUUUCUGCCUCGUGUUGAAGAUGAAGGUGUAAUGAUGAUAAACAUGUAUUAGAGUAGCACAGUUGAGAAGCUGUAUGUAUAUCUAUGGAUUGAUCGUCAUCAUGUCAAAGGCUCGAGAAAUGGAAAGGAGAAAAGAGGGUAAACCAGGUGAAGCAAGAGCUGCGCUGCGCUAAGGCGUUCUAUGAAGGACAACGGGAUUUUUCGAAGCACCCUGAAGCGGCUUAGGAUUAUGAGAAAUUCUGAACCUAUCAAACUUGGUAGUCAUAAACGUACUGUUGCAGCAUCAACAUGUCUAGAUAAGAACACGAGACAAAGAAGGAAUGACAUUUGAUAUUAUGUGUACUCACUCUACCUUCUGAUUGGAUGAAAACUCAACUAAGUUCUUUCUAACGGGUCAUUGAUCCUCUGUUUCGGGCUCUCUUUUGAAAUCAAGUCUGUUACAAACUCAAGAGGGGAAGGUAAAAAAGAAUACACGGAUGAUGAUUUGGAUGAAGUUCGUGAAGAAUGGGGAAGUUAUGUGGCAAACUUCAUUUACCGGUCUUGAACUUUUAACGGUUGUAAACUUUUAUGGUUAAUAUUAGAAUUUUAAAUUACUUGUAGUGUAUGAAACGCAUAGUUUUGAUAUAUAUAUGAAAUGUUCUCUUUUGCUA